AUAUCUUUUAAAGGUACAGUGCGUAGGAUCUGGCGGUUUUCUAGCGGUGAGGUGAGGAGAUUGCAACCAACUGAAGCCUCUCCCGUGUGCCAAGCAAGUUGGAGAGCCACGGUGGCCGACGUGAAAACACUUAAUGUCCAUCUCUAGAGUCAUCUGGAGCAGAGCCAGUGCGUAGAGUGUGUGUGUGUGUGCACGUGGGAAGUGAGCGGUGAAGCAAGAGAGCGAGAGCGGCAACGACGGGAGCGAGUCACGUUAUCAGCUCUGGCCCAAGCAGGAAAACUUAACAGAGUCUGUUCUGGGCUACUGUAGAAGCAUGGCGGUGCAACAUGGCAGACUCCGUGGAGAAGACCCGCUCCCUAUGGAGAUAUAAACAGCUCAUUCUAAGCUAACGAAAACACGAUUCUUAUUAUCAGGUGAUUAUACGCUAAGGAAAACAUACUUAUUAAUAUUAUAUUCCAUUUCUUAUUGUUACACACUAGUCCUUUAAAAAUACUUUAGAGGCCCAGCCAUUCAUUUUUUACUCCCUCUAGAUCAUAGGUCUCAAACUCGCGGCCCGCGGGCCAAUUGCGGCCCGCAAGACGAUAUUUUGUGGCCCCCACCUUGAUAUGAAAGUUUAAUGUUAGUGCGGCCCGCGAG